UCUCCUGGAAACGGGUGGUAAUGCCGGAUGCUCCGCCCCCUCGCAUGGGGGGUCGGGAAGGCUUUUGCGGAAUGGGAUGGGGUCGCGUCCUAUCAGCUUGUUGGCGGGGCGACGGCCCACCAAGGCUUCGACGGGUAGCCGGCCUGAGAGGGCGACCGACCACAUUGGGACUGAGAUACGGCCCAGACUCCUACGGGAGGCAGCAGUGGGGAAUAUUGCACAAUGGGGGGAACCCUGAUGCAGCGACGCCGCGUGCGGGAUGGAGGCCUUCGGGUCGUGAACCGCUUUUGAUUGGGAGCAAGCGUGAGUGAGUGUACCUUUCGAAUAAGCACCGGCUAACUACGUGCCAGCAGCCGCGGUAAUACGUAGGGUGCAAGCGUUGUCCGGAAUCAUUGGGCGUAAAGGGCUCGUAGGCGGUUCGUCGCGUCCGGUGUGAAAGCCCAUCGCUUAACGGUGGGUCUGCGCCGGGUACGGGCGGGCUUGAGUGCGGCAGGGGAGGCUGGAAUUCCCGGUGUAACGGUGGAAUGUGUAGAUAUCGGGAAGAACACCA
rnacentral:rRNA from 1 species